rnacentral:rRNA from 1 species
UACGGUAAAGACAGUUAGGCUGAAAACUAAAAGCCAUGAGAUUUUUAAUAUAGGAGUAAAAUCUAAGUAUUAAAAGAUAUUCCAGGCAUGGUUUAUUUAAGAUGCUGAAUCUGUGACAACUUUAAGGGAAACUGGGAUUGGAUACCCCAUUAUUUUUAGUUGUAAAUUUAGUCUAAGCUUACCGGAGUACUACGAAUCAAAAAAUUUAAAACUCAAAGGGCUUGGCGGUGUUUUAGACCUCUCAGGGGAACCUGUCUCAUAAUCGACAAUCCGCGCUAAACCUGACCUUUUCUGGUAAUGCAGCCUGUAUACCGUCGUCGUCAGGUAACUUCUUAAAAUAUAGUAGUUAGCUAGAGAAUUGUAUUAAUUAGGACGUCAGAUCAAGGUGCAGCUAAUGAGAGGGUGAAGAUGGGUUACAAUUACAAAUUUGUAAUAACGGAAAGGCGUUUGAAAUUAAAUGCCUUAAAGGAGGACUUGAAAGUAAUUUUAAGUAAAUAAAUAAAAUGAAUAAGGCUCUGAAACGUG